GUUUUUUAUUUUUAACAUUUUUGUUUUCACAAUUCAUUUCACAAUUUUUUUCACCUGAAAUUUUUCAUGUUGUUUACAUUUUUCUGAAAUUAUUUCUCUCAUUUUUAACACGAGACAUUUUAUUUCUUUUCUUCUCACAUUUCAUUUUCUUGUGUGUCUGUUUUCAUGUGUGGUGGGUGUAUUUACAUUUUCACAUUAAACUUGUACAUUUAUUUUCACAUCUUUUCCCCCCAUGUUCGUGUUUGUGUAGUGUUGUGCGGUGUAGUGUUGUGUAUGUGUUUGUGUAGUGUAGUCUAUGUUGUUGUGUAGUGUAAUGUAGUGUAGGUUAGUGUAGUGUUGUGUAGGUUAGUGUAGUGUAGUGUAGUGUAGUGUAGUGUAGUGUAGGUUAGUGUAGUGUAGUGUAGUGUAGUGUAGUGUAGUGUAGGUUAAUGUAGUGUAGUGUAGUGUAGUGUAGGUUAGUGUAGUGUAGUGUAGUGUAGUGUAGUGUAGUGUUGUGUAGUGUAGUGUAGUGUAGUGUAGUGUAGUGUAGUGUAGUGUAGUGUAGUGUAG
ensembl:lncRNA